rnacentral:rRNA from 1 species
AUGCCCAAAUCAAGCCUCCCCCUCCUCAGCCGCACCCACCCCCAUCCCCACUCCAAUCGCGCCGCCUGCCCUCGUCGACCACUCCUCCGCCCCGCCGAGUCACCGCACACUGUUGAGCCGCGGUGCCGUCGCCGUGGAUGGGAUGUGCGGCGGCCGUCCCCCCAGCGUCAAACUCCUGCAGAUGGAGACGGCCUGCGGCGCCCUCAUGCACGAGCUUCAGGUGUGCCCGCGGUCUGCCAGCGACCAGGACGAUGCCGACGGCCUCCACAGUUGCUCCUUCUUAACAUUCGCGCGCCAGGAGAGGAGCCUCCGACCCCGACGCCAUGGAAGGUUGUGAAGAUAUUCCCAUGCCAGACAUUUGGAUCUCUUUGCCCCAUUGUGCAAUGUUGGUUGGAUGGCAGGGCCAGCUCUAAAUGUUGGUUGGAUGCAAGAGAGGAACUGUACUUGAUCCUCUGCUCGGCCAGCCCGUGGACGACCACUACUUCCUCGAGAAAGACCGGCAUCGCUAUCGACACUCAGCUGGUCGUAGCAGAAGUCAAUAAACAGAAGAUGGAAACCGGCAAAGAUGCAGAUAGAUGGUGGACAUAUGAGAGAGGUGAUGGGAUAAAGAACGACUGUCGGCGACACUUGGCCAGAAGAAGAGAGCUAAGAACGAGGGGGUUCGGAGAGCGCCGCAGCUUGACUGCGGUCCUCAUGGCUCCUAAUAAUCCAUCAGCUGCUAGCGGCGCUACUAUAGCUAAUUGUGAUUUGCAGUUUCUAUCAGCCUUUUGUGUAUGCAGUUUCCCCGUUAUUUUCUAA